CACGGGGGGAGCAAGCGUUGUUCGGAAUCACUGGGCGUAAAGGGCGUGUAGGCGGUUUGGUAAGUGGGAUGUGAAAUGCCUCGGCUCACCCGAGGACCGGCAUCCCAAACUGCCAAGCUUGAGUAUGGGAGAGGAUGUGGGAAUUCCUGGUGUAGCGGUGAAAUGCGUAGAUAUCAGGAGAAACACCGGUGGCGAAGGCGCACAUCUGGCCCAAUACUGACGCUGAGGCGCGAAAGCUAGGGGGAGCAAACGGG
rnacentral:rRNA from 1 species